rnacentral:rRNA from 1 species
AAUCAACGCUGGCGGCGCGCUUAACACAUGCAAGUCGAACGAGAAAGGGAGCAAUCCUGAGUAGAGUGGCGUACUGGUGAGUAACACGUGGAUAUCUACCUCCUGGUGGGGAAUAACCUGGGGAAACCUGGGCUAAUACCGCAUAAGUUCGUGAGAAGAAAGGCGCAAGUCGCCGGGAGAGGAGUCCGCGGUCGAUUAGG